rnacentral:sRNA from 2 species
CAACCCGUAGCGCCGAGCUCCAUCCAACGGGCGGGGGAGACCGAAAAUCUGGAUGGAGACGGGGGACCCACCGGUCCGCCGGACUGGGGUCGCGUGCGACUCCUUGGGGUGAAGCCGAUGUCGGCUCUUGCGAGACGACAGCGGCCGGGUGACCUCUUGUACCCGAACCCGACAGCUGACCUCGCAGGCGCGUGACGAGAGGAAUU